rnacentral:rRNA from 1 species
GUGCGUUUCGAGGUGUCGGCCACGGCGGUACGACGAGGUGGUGGAGGAGGGGGGGAGGAGGUCCCGGGGCAGGGCGGGGAGAGGCGCCGCCGGCUCGCAUCCACAGCGACGACGCAAGUGCCAGGCCACGCGCAGGAGGAGCCGGGUCAGCGACGGCCGCAGCAGCAGUAGCAACCGGCCCGUCGUCCACCGCUUACACGUGUCGAUGCCCUGCCACCUGAAGCUCGCCGCGGGCCGCGACGCCACCUCGUCGGACAUGGCCGCGCACCGCUACCCGGUGCCGCCGGCCGGGCACCCCGCCUGCGACCGCCUGACCCUGCUCCCGCUCGCGGCGGAGCUGUUCACCCUCGAGACGGCGUAGCGGUCCCUCGAGGCGUUCAAGGCGGCCAAGUUGGAGCGCGAGCUCCAAAUACUAACCUACUGACUAGCUUCCCUAUCUAAAAGCGAAAGUAGAUCACUAUACCGCUAGGUCAAUCUAGACUAACGUUUUCAUGCACCACAAGGUCUACGACUUCUUAUGAAACUUUUUGAAGGACUGGGUGACUUUCUGUUCGCUUGUAUACCCAGAGAAGAGUUACAAAUACGGGUUCGAUCCUACUUUCUCUUUUGUCUUAUGUGUAAACUCGUCUACUCCUUUUUCCGCAAACGUUGACUGUGUAAUGGAAAAUUACACAACUACUUAAAAAUGCACCUACAACGUCUCGGACUCUUUCACAGAUGUCAAUGACUACUCUACUUCGUUUCUUUAUAGCGGAAACUACAGACGUGAAUGUUGUAAACCUAUUUCACGACACGUCGAUACUUUCUGCGACUACGUUACCUUGCUCAGAAAUUGGUCUACUAACGACUACUCAGGCAACAACGGUUGACCUGAUGAAUAUGGUGUGAACGAUCGUACGUAUAGUUCGACCUCUUGAAACUCUUCCGUCUUCUUACGGACUUUCUUCGACUCUUCGCUCGUUGUCCAUCCCUAUUUUUUACAAAGGUAAAAGAGUAGUGUGAGAUAUCGGUAGAAGUCUUCUUUCUUCUUCAGAUGGCGUAAACCUUAACCAUGUUUCGUUGAAAGUUCUGUUAAGUAUUGGACCCAAUGGUCCUCCAUGACAGACGGGAACAAUCCGAUCCUCUAUAUCUCCCUCGACUUGAAGAUAUACUUCUUACCCGUAGGUUUUCAAGAUCAAAGCUAGGCUUCUGAUACUUGUAAAAUAAUCGUACCAUAAGAUCUCUUCCAAAACAACACUUCCGACUCGUUUGAGACUUGUCUAAACAACUCUUUCCACCCUUGGGGUUUGGUUUAUGGACCCUUUAGGAACGGUGCCGCAUAGACUUCCUGUUAGUCAAACGACUUAGAGACAGUACAAACCUCUUUCGGUGACGUCAAUUUUCACGAUCAUUUACCUCUGGUUCUGGUUGGUUACAACUCUCAGAGGACCGUAUAAAGUUCCUCUUCUUGCUGUGCCUCUCACAGCUGUCCAAUUACUCAAAUGAGUCUUCAUCUCCCACACGACUCUUGCUUCUCAUGUUCAGUAACAAACUGUGGAUACGAAACCGCCAACGCCCGUGCACUACUACCUGCCUGUGGUUGCUAUGCUAUACUAAUCAUUUAUCGGGAACUUGUGAAGAACAUUAGACUUACAACCUUCUUGGGGACGAACUCUCAAGUACACUAUAACUUCGGUACUGUCAACGCCUACUUGUCCGGUCUGGUGGGCCUCGGGGGGGGAACGGCCAUCUACUGGAUAAAGGAACUCUUUUCGUCAAUAGACUAGCACCUAAAGAACAUUAUUAUUAUUAUUAUACACGCCCCAGUGACCUCCCCGACGUCGACGUCCUUCCACCCACCAACGUAGGUCCUACGUCGUGCGUGCGUGACUGAUUUGAUUACCGGUCUAAGCGAGUGUCGAUCCACUGCCCGUUUCUCACUCGAGUUUUCCGCCUUUUAAUUUCCUCAGGUCGGUGUCGGUAACGAGCGAAAUGAGUUUGCAGUGGCUGACAAACAGUAGAGGCUUUCUCCAGAGCCAAGUCGAACGUUCGACCUCAUGUCAAUAAUGACACUAGGGCAGUACCUGUUGCACUAAUUCUGUUGGACAUUCUAUAUGAUUCUUAUUAGUACCGGCAAACUGGGAGAUAUUCGUCUGCACUAGCCGUGAGGGUAG